rnacentral:lncRNA from 1 species
UCGACUGGAAUGGAGUGGAUUCCAGCUGGAUUUCAUCUAGAAAUCAAGACGACCAAAAGGAUUUUGGGAAUUUUAGGAUGGAGCAGACCUAGAUGAUGCGCCUGGUGUCGAUUCCGGCGAGCUAAGUCGCCGGAGCAGUAACCAACGACUGGAAACCUUCUUGAUCUAUUCCAUUUUUCUCAACGCAUGGUGUGCGAUUCAGUGUGCAUAUAUGCGUGUACAGU